GUAGAGCUAAGACUGAGAGCUCGUGUCUUAAGGUGGGUGGCGGCAGUUACAUUGUUGAUGUCCAUGGGCUCCGGUAACUAUUUAACUCA